rnacentral:rRNA from 1 species
AGCGAACGCUGGCGGCAGGCUUAACACAUGCAAGUCGAGCGGGCACUUUCGGGUGUCAGCGGCGGACGGGUGAGUAACGCGUGGGAACGUGCCCUCUGGUUCGGAAUAACUCAGGGAAACUUGAGCUAAUACCGGAUACGCCCUUUUGGGGAAAGGCUUGCUGCCGGAGGAUCGGCCCGCGUCUGAUUAGCUAGUUGGUGAGGUAGCGGCUCACCAAGGCGACGAUCAGUAGCUGGUCUGAGAGGAUGAUCAGCCACACUGGGACUGAGACACGGCCCAGACUCCUACGGGAGGCAGCAGUGGGGAAUAUUGGACAAUGGGCGCAAGCCUGAUCCAGCCAUGCCGCGUGAGUGAUGAAGGCCUUAGGGUUGUAAAGCUCUUUUAUCCGGGACGAUAAUGACGGUACCGGAGGAAUAAGCCCCGGCUAACUUCGUG